GCUGAUAUAGUUAGUUCAUUAGACUUAUGUAGGUUAUAUUUGUAUUUUAACAGGACCAGAAUAUCUUCAUAUUAUAUUAAUCUGGUGAUGUUUCCAAACAGGAGAUAGACCUUUGUACCAUAUACAUGGUAAGAUCAGUGUUACAUGUAUUUUUAGUUUACUGUAUUGUCUGUGUUUGUCUAUUUAAUUUUAGUUCAGUAUAUGUAUU
rnacentral:lncRNA from 1 species